GAGCUCGUCAUGAGGCGUGAGGCGUCCGGAUUUGGGGGGGAUUUGGGAUCGGGGGGAGGCGGAGGCGGGGCAGGUACCUGAGGAGCCGCGCUAGCCCGCGGUGCCCCAGGAGGUUGGGGGCGCGGACCUAGCAGCGCCCGCAGCGGCAGCGGCCACAGUAGCAGGAGCGCCUCCAGCGCGCGGCGGCGGCCUCCACCGACGCGCCGUUCAGGUCAGGCGGGGGGAUGAGGCCCCGGAAGACGCUGGCGGAGCUCGAGCGGGGCGGCGGCGUCGGGGGAGGGGGGCGCCGCGCGGUCGUCGAGGGCCUGGAGUGGAAGCGCCAGUCGCUGUUGAAGCUCUAGCUCCCGAUACAUCGACCGAAACCUUUGGGCCUGACCUUCUCCUGGGUGUUCCGUCGCUCGGUGUGCCGCCGCCGGCAGUUCCGAGACGACUUCGUCCCCCGAUGUACGCAGCCCUCCUGUCAGUACCUACUUGAGCCGAAACCACAAUGACCUCUCUUAAAUGUGACACCUUGUGGUUAAUUGGGUCGUAGAGGUAGUCAACAGGGACCUCCCAGUACGUCACCGAGGCGACAACGUCAAAGAGACGUCGAACAGCUCAAACGAGAACCAUGACUAUGUUGACCACUAAACUCUUAAGGUCGUAGAAAGACGCCACAAGAAACAAAGGCCGGAAGAGUACCCCAACACAGAUGAGAACCCUGGAAUGGCUUAAGUGUAUCAGAUCUGUGGUAACCUACCGAACGUGCUCUAGGAGUAUAUGAAUCAGCACAACCUCUACGAGACAAUGGUCGACGACGUACACCUGAAUUCCCCUUUUCCGUCAACCAAAAACGACUACUAACGAAACUCAACGAUUUCUAAGGGUUGGUCUUUUGUCACCUACAGUAUCUUUUACGACAGGCAUGUAAUGGAAUACCUAAAGUCGGUGGAUUCGUGUAAUUAUAACCGGUCAUAUAGUCAAGUUUACAUGGAUCGAACUUCCUCAAGACGCUUGGAAGAUGUUUCAACGUUCUUCCUUUCAGUCGGAACUUUCGAGAGACGUGCCAAUACGACAAUAAUGUCUCUAUACUUAAGUUUCGUUUGGUGCUCCUAACCCAAUUGUGACAUUUUGGGUUCGAACCGGAACUUCAUAGAUGAGCACAUGAUGUUCGACAUUUGAAGUGUCUGCUAUUGUAGUUUAGGAACAUGUAACAUGCUUGACUUACCGCUCGACGUGACUUCUUAGAAGAUUUCCUAUGACCUUAAAAUCAAGACGGUUGGUACCGACCUGUGGGAAACUUUUCCUUGAGAUUUGUCUCUAACAGUAGGCUUAAACUUCUAUUUUACAUGCGUAAACAGUCGUAACGACGUGAAAGUCCGACAACGGUCCGGUGACAAGGGAACCCUUUAGUGUUACUAGUAGGAUAUAGAUAAAGUAAACAUCGUCGAGUACCUAGUCUGUUCAAGGAAGAAGCACGAUAGAACCUAUACGUAAGUCGGUAGGUUCUUGUUUAUCAAAACCGUAGGUUCAACCGUGAAGGCGGUCAUUAACUAGCACUACAACUAUGUAGUCUCGACAACUUUCUUUUCCCUUUAUUAAGGAAGUUUUCUUUUGUUACCUCGUUUCGGUAACUUAAGAUAAGGCCCCGUUAGUUUAACUUACUGUGUUUACGCUGUAUGAUAACGUUAUCUCGUCGACGAAUAGACCUUGAACCGGCAAAGUUCGUUCGACUUCGCCUAACGCUGGUUCGGAACGACAACCUAUUUUUCUUACAAUUUCGUAUGGAUGCUGCUCCAUGGCGUUUUCUUUCACAAAACUUAAUGGUUCUUCGAGACGUUCUAAAGUCCGUACGAAAUCGAAACCUCGGCGUCUUGUCUUGUCGGGAACGUCGUCUCUUUUCCGAUGUCUUUGUGGAGUCCACUAAGCCCACCGCCUCGACCUUUUGACGUUGGAAGUUUAAAACACUAGUUUGAUCAGACAUUUCCUUUCUCGGGAAGACGAGGCACUCCUCUUAACCAGCGUUCUGUGACUUGUGAACCGAAGACAUCACGGUGGCCCACAGCAACAAGAGCAAAGUAUUUAACUUUAAAAACCGUACUCAAGCACUUCUAUAACCGUAGAAGACUCACGUAGACUUUGUUGACCGUUCUUUGUAAGGUUGACACAAACCAACUCCGACAUUUUGAAAAUGUAGGUUAUGCCGUUGCACACUAUCGCCAAAGAGUUGUGGAACGUACUUGAUGUCAUACAUGGUUCUUUAAGAUUUUGCUGACCGUUAAGUUGAGUACGGUGAGACGGGGGCACCUUUGCACUGGUGUUCACUUCCUAUUCAGUGACUUGUGGUCUGUCUAUAGGUGCCAAGCCGCCCUUUUAGUCGGUCUUUCGUGACUUGUGCAUCUCGGCGCUUGCUGACUUGGUGCUAGUGGGGGCGCCUCUUACGUUCCCUGUUUGCGGGCCGGCGGCCAAGUGCGGUCAACCGGCUUCGUUUGACGUGGCUGCUCAGCGGGCUGCCGCUGGAGGUCGAACAGGGGAGGAAGGAGACGCGCAGGCAUACACACUCGUGCGAGCUGGACCCAGACACGUCACCGAACCUAUUCGUUCGUUUGCGGAAGCAAAGAAGGUGGGGUAUCUAGUGAACCAGACCUCACCGACAAAGGGACCCACUAGCCAGCUUACCUCUGCUGCGUCGUCGUCGCGGCCGUGGUCGAGGCCUGUGGGUACCUGGGCGAGCACAGGGAGCGGCGGUCGAAGGAGAGCCGGAAGAGCGGCAGCAGGUCGCUCGUCCCGUGGUGGUGGAGGUGCUAUGAGGAGGACGGCGAGGGCCAGCGGCGCCGCGCGCGCGACAGGCACGAGGCGGCCGACCGCGACGAGCGGUGCGUCCGGAAGUAGAGGGAGAAGAAGCGCAAGGAGAGGCGCGAGAGCGGGGGCGGGGGCGGCGGCGGGGGGAGCGAGCGCGGGAGCGACGGCGGCGGCGACGCGCCCCUGGCGCGCCCGCGCCCCCGGUGGCGGCGGCACCGCAGGUGGACGCACCUCGCGCGCGAGCCCGUGCACGAGACCCAACGCAGCGCCGAGGGGCAGCGGAGGGCGUUCGUGCUCGACCACGCGCCCGACCGCCUCGCCGACGAGCUGCUCUUGUUGCACCCGCGCGCCCAGCGGCGUCACUGGGCGCGGCGCGACCGGCCCCGCAAGCUCGCGUGGGACGCCGUCGACCUCCGCAGCCGCCCGCCGCUCACCCCGGGCGGGCCCUACCUCGACCGGCACGCGCGCCAGUCCAGGCCCCACGCCACCACCUCCGGCUGGCAGCGGCGCGACCUUCCGUUGCUGCGCAAGCCGCCGGGGCGCCGGCUCUUCGAGCGGCGGCUCGACGACACCGAGCCCGUCUUCUACCGGCUCACGCCGCGCCGCGCGCUCCGGCGGCACGUCAAGCCGCGGCGCAGCGCGGAGCCGUCGGCGCGCGAGCAGCGGCUCGGGUGAGAGGUCCAGCGCGACGAGGCCGACCGACACAAGGACAAGUCCGUGCGGUUGAGCCGCCUCAAGCUCGUCCUCCUCCCGUUCCGCCGCCACCGCCUCGUCGCCUACCUCUACGACGCCAGCACCGACGGCGACGAGACGGCGCCGUCGUUGCCCUGCCUGCGCGGCCACGACUCGCCGUCCCUCUCCCGCCUCUACCACUGCCACGACCUCCUCGACUAGCUCUUCGACGCCACCCUCGUCGUCCUCCUCCGGGACCGCGACACCGACGUGGUGAAGCGGCGGACGGGCCUGUGGCUGACCGGGUUGGAGCUCGCGACGAUGUGCGCUACCAUGCGGCUCAGCGCGUUCGAGGAGCGGACUGGUCGUCGGUCGUGCAUGCGGCCUCGUGAAAACCGACUACGAGUGCACACACGUUGAGCUAGCUCGUUGAAUGAUCAUCAACACAUACAUUCAAGUCAUGUUGUCUUACACUUCAAGUGUUCAAUACGAUCACAUUAGACGUAAAAAGAAAAAAAACGUAGACCUGAGACAAGUAUCGUCCGGACUCGUUUAAACAUUGGGAUAAUAGAAGUCUCUUGGGUUGUCUAAAAGGGAGAACGGACUCGUCAUUUGACCUGGUUUUCCUGACUUCUUUAGCAGCAUAGCUGCGGCUUGUUCAAGUAUCUUUACGACGUACCUAUGUUUCCUUUUCUUGCUCCGGAAAACGAGUAAACGACUUAGUAGUCCUCGUCUUUUUUGGGUUCGAGGAUUAAGGUCGAAGGCGUUACAACCCUUGUACCCGUUAUGUAUAUGUCAAGAUUGUGCAGUUUGGAGAAAGGAUUUUUUUUUUACUCAAACCCGUUGUCGAUAAGUCCUGUUCCAAUAUUACCGUUGUUAUGAACCCCUCUCUUAAAGAAUAAACCGGGAAAGAAUUUUAAACGAAGAGAAAAACCGGGAAAUUUAAUAAAAGAAGAGAAAAACUGUGAAUUUGAAGCAAAACACGGGAUACACUGGGAAAGUAGGUAAAAAGGUAGCUUACUAUAAUUUACCGUGUACGUUACUGUUAGAACGGGAACUACCAUCAUACAG
rnacentral:rRNA from 1 species